UACGAAGGGGGCGAGCGUUGUUCGGAUUUACUGGGCGUAAAGGGCGCGCAGGCGGCCAGAUUUGUCGAGUGUGAAAGCCCCGGGCUUAACCUGGGAACGGCGCUCGAAACGGUAUGGCUAGAGAUCGGGAGAGGAGAGUGGAAUUCCCAGUGUAGAGGUGAAAUUCGUAGAUAUUGGGAAGAACACCGGUGGCGAAGGCGGCUCUCUGGACCGAGACUGACGCUGAGGCGCGAAAGCGUGGGGAGCAAACAGG
rnacentral:rRNA from 1 species